CCCUUAGAUGUUCUGGGCUGCACGCGCGCUACACUGAUGCGCUCAACCAGUUUAUGACCUUGCCCGGAAGGGUUGGGUAAUCUUUUCAAAACGCAUCGUGAUGGGGAUAGAUUAUUGCAAUUAUUAAUCUUCAACGAGGAAUUCCUAGUAAGCGCGAGUCAUCAGCUCGUGCUGAUUACGUCCCUGCCCUUUGUACACACCGCCCGUCACUCCUACCGAUUGAGUGAUCCGGUGAAUAAUUCGGACUGCGGCAAUGUUCAGCUCCUGAAUGUUGCUGCGGAAAGUUUAGUGAACCUUAUCACUUAGAGGAAGGAGAAGUCGUAACA
rnacentral:rRNA from 1 species